GGGUGCGGGGCGCGCGUGCACGUGUGCGUGUGCCUGCCGGGCUGCUGCGCGGCGGGCUGCGAGUGCCCGUGAGACGCCGCUCCCAGCCGGCCCCGCCGCCCCGCAGCCCCCGCCCGGCCCCGGCCGUGCCCUCGCCGGCGCCCCCGAGGGCACUCACCGGCGUCCCCCACAUCGCGUCGCCGAAAUGCUCUCCGGACGAGUCAGGAGGGGCGCUGGUGGCUCUCGAGCGAAGCAUUAACGCGGUCCGGGAGCUGCACAGGUCACUUGGAAAUGAAUGAAUCAAGCCUACAAGGACUCUUCUCCUUGGGACCACGUCUUCUGGGAUUUCAUAGUUCGAAGACUUACAUUAGAGAUCAAAAAACAGUUAUGUUCUCUGAGGCGAGAGGAAACUGUUUUCCCCUAAAUACUCAUAAAAUGAUUCGUGCCUCCUAUUCAGCUAAUAAAUACCCUCCCCCACCUGACACAUGGCUGUAAGUGGGAAUCUCUUGGUCUAGUUUUACAGGGGUGGAGAACUCAACCAUGAUAUUGUGUGAGCAGACAUGUAAAGCGAGCCUAAAGUUCUGUGAAUUAAGGGAAAUCAGCUCAAAUGAAGGCCUAUAUUGUAUCUCCAGAUCUCAAGAGAGCUUGCUCACCUACAUGUGCAUUCUACAAAUAUGUCUUGCUUGCCAGGCGUUCGCCUAAUGAGUGCGAUUACUUUUGAGCACUUAUGCUUUGAGAAUAAAAACAAAUGGUUGAGACAAGCUGGAAGCUUUUUGAAAGUGUGCAAAAUAAUUUUGAUUCCUUAACAUGGCUUGCAGCUUUGGGUUUUAACCAAAUUGUAAACCAAUUGUUAAACCGCCUUUCCGUUACGCCGUGCAAUAAAACACUUGCCUUCGAUGUUUGAAACUAAAAUGCUUUGUAACUGCUUUACCGCUGAAAGUCCCUCCAAACCUUACAGCUUAAACAAUUUCCAGUUCUUAACAAACACACAUCUGGAUUUACGAAACACUUUCUGACUAGCACAUACAUUGUUAACAUUGUGUCCUUUCUAGUAAAAUGGGAAUAAAGAUAUUGGCGCUCAAA